UUUCCGUAGGUGAACCUGCGGAAGGAUCAUUGUCGUGACCCUGACCAAAAUAGACCGCGCACAUGUUAUCCAUCCCGCCGAUGGCGGCACUGCCCGCCAUCCGGCCAAGUCCCUGACCACCUCCCCUCCUCGGAGGGGGGGGCCGGGGCAACAGAACCCACGGCGCCGACGGCGUCAAGGAACACUAUGCCUAACUCGAGGGUGUGGCUGGCUUGCUAGCCACCCCUCGUGUUGCGAUGCCAUAUAAUCCACACGACUCUCGGCAACGGAUAUCUCGGCUCUC
rnacentral:misc_RNA from 1 species